rnacentral:rRNA from 1 species
AUUGAACGCUGGCGGCAGGCCUAACACAUGCAAGUCGAGCGAGCGGCGGACGGGUGAGUAAUGUCUGGGAAACUGCCUGAUGGAGGGGGAUAACUACUGGAAACGGUAGCUAAUACCGCAUACCAUCAGAUGUGCCCAGAUGGGAUUGGCUAGUAGGUGGGGUAACGGCUAACCUAGGCGACGAUCCCUAGCUGGUCUGAGAGGAUGACCAGCAACGCGGGAACUGAGACACGGUCCAAACUCCUACGUGAGGCAGCAGUGGGGAUGAUGGCACAAUGGGCGCAAGCCUGAUGCAGCCAUGCGGCGUGUGGGAAGAAGGCCUUCGGGUUGUAAAGCACUUUCAGCGGGGAGGCGUUACCCGCAGAAGAAGCACCGGCUAACGCCGUGCCAGCAGCCGCGGUAAUUC